GGGGGUGCAAGAAUUGACAGAAAUUAAACCAAGAUAGGCAAACCGAGUAUUCUCGAAUCUCGUAAAACUUCGGGAAAAUAAUAAGUGCCAACUUAUUCAAAAAACCUGCAUUAGCAUUAGCUUAAUGCCAUCCUUUUUACUGAUUCUCGAUGGGUAAAAAAGCCCUGUUCCUGCCUUUGGCAGGACGGGCCCGUCCUGAUAAAAUUAGGAUAAGGGGGUGUCAUAUUAUCGAGAUAGAUGGCUUUUUUCAACCCUAAAAAGUUAUUGAAACGCAAAGGGUUAAAAAUAGGAAGAUUUUACCCAAUUUAAACUUUCUAUUAUUCUACAAAUUGGGGUAUGCUUGUAGAUCUAUCUUUGUAUUAAUUUUUGGACGCGAGUUCACCCUCGCCACCUCCACAA
rnacentral:tmRNA from 2 species